CAAAAAGCAAAUCUUUUUCUGGUUCCACGCUCACCUUUGGUUUUGAAGACUGAGUGACUUAAAGGAAUCUGGACUUUGGGUGCUGUCUGCAGACUUGGCUCAUAUUCAAGAUCGGGCUCCUCUUACGGACCCCGAAGAACAGAUUGGUGAGGUAAUCUGCAUACAUCAAACAGAUAGUUUGUAGCAGAACGAAUUUGAACAAGGAUAAUCUCGUUAUGGAUUCUGUACCCUUCGUCUCUGUUGCGAUACUGAGUCAAAGUUCAGCAUACACAGACUGUUCAACAGAAAGAAAGUAAUGAAGAAACUGAAAGAUCUAGAGAGGACGUACAGUACAGUGGCCAAGAUCUGAACCUAGGAGGUCUGGCACCAAAGUCUAUACAGCAGUCUCCCCAUUAUCCACAGUGUCAGUUACCCUCGGUCAACCGCCAUCCGGAAGCAGAUGAUCCUCCUGCUGCCAUAUGGUCAGCAGGUCAAUGGUAGCUUACUGCUGUGUCAUUCACUUCCCUAGAUCUCAUCACGGGAGCAUUUUAUCAUCUCACAUCAUCACAAGAAGAAGAGUGAGUACAGUGCAUAAGGUAUUUUGAGAGAGAGACAAAAUUCACAGAAUCUUUAUUGCAGUAUAUGGGUAUAAAUGUUCUAUUUUAUUAUUACUUAUUGCUGUUAAUCUCUACUGCGCCUAACGUAUAAAUUAAACUUUAUCAUAGGUGUGUACAUAUAGGAAGAAACAUAAUAUAUAUAGGGUUUGAUACUACUCAUGGUUUCAGGCACCCAUGGGGUUCU